UACGAAGGUGGCAAGCGUUACUCGGAAUUACUAGGCGUAAAGGGCAGGUAGGCGGUUUGAUGAGUCUGUUGUGAAAGCUCCCGGCUUAACUGGGAGAGGUCAACAGAUACUGUCGAACUUGAGUAUGGGAGAGGGUACUGGAAUUCCUGGUGUAGCGGUGAAAUGCGCAGAGAUCAGGAGGAACACCGAUGGCGAAAGCAGGUACCUGGACCAUUACUGACGCUCAGCUGCGAAAGCUAGGGGAGCAAACAGGAUUAGAC
rnacentral:rRNA from 1 species